rnacentral:rRNA from 1 species
CCUACGGGUGGCAGCAGUCGAGAAUCAUUCACAAUGGGGGAAACCCUGAUGGUGCGACGCCGCGUGGGGGAAUGAAGGUCUUCGGAUUGUAAACCCCUGUCAUGUGGGAGCAAAUUAAAAAGAUAGUACCACAAGAGGAAGAGACGGCUAACUCUGUGCCAGCAGCCGCGGUCAUACAGAGGUCUCAAGCGUUGUUCGGAAUCACUGGGCGUAAAGCGUGCGUAGGCUGUUUCGUAAGUCGUGGGUGAAAGGCGCGGGCUCAACCCGCGGACGGCACAUGAUACUGGGAGACUAGAGUAAUGGAGGGGGAACCGGAAUUCUCGGUGUAGCAGUGAAAUGCGUAGAUAUCGAGAGGAACACUCGUGGCGAAGGCGGGUUCCUGGACAUUAACUGACGCUGAGGCACGAAGGCCAGGGGAGCGAAAGGGAUUAGAUACCCCAGUAGUC